GACGAACGCUGGCGGCGUGCUUAACACAUGCAAGUCGAACGAGAGCGUAGAGAAAGCUUGCUUUUUCUACAAUCUAGUGGCAAACGGGUGAGUAACGCGUAAACAACCUGCCCUACGGAUGGGGACAACAGCUGGAAACGGCUGCUAAUACCGAAUACGUUCCGAAAGUCGCAUGACUGUCGGAAGAAAGGAUGGCCUCUAUUUAUAAGCUAUCGCCGGAGGAGGGGUUUGCGUCUGAUUAGCUAGUUGGAGGGGUAACGGCCCACCAAGGCGACGAUCAGUAGCCGGUCUGAGAGGAUGAACGGCCACAUUGGAACUGAGACACGGUCCAGACUCCUACGGGAGGCAGCAGUGGGGAAUCUUCCGCAAUGGGCGAAAGCCUGACGGAGCAACGCCGCGUGAGUGAAGACGGCCUUCGGGUUGUAAAGCUCUGUUAUACGGGACGAAUAAUCUUGUGGUUAAUACCCAUAAGAAGUGACGGUACCGUAA
rnacentral:rRNA from 1 species